GUUGAUGGUUCGCAGUGUGUGCGAAGAAGAGGUGCAGACACUAUCACGGUCGUAAACGCGCUCGCGAUAUUUAUGGUUCAAGCGGACAAAUUCUCGAAAAUCGUACGAAAAUUCCACCUGACGUGGUUGGGAAAUAAAAUUUAUCGCUUCGCAAUAGAACUUCAUUCGAUUGAUUGGCUUCUGCGUGAUCGUGACGCGGUAGAUCGUGAUCGUGAUCAUUUCGCCGAUAAUUGCCGUUCAUUGUGACAACACACUGGAAUCGGUUUCGGUUUGCGAUUAAGAACAUUCGAAGGUUCAUGUGGAUGCUUGAACACGGCAUCGAACACACACGGUUCGCGUUGAUUUCCUCGCGGAGAGUCGCGGAAGAGAGUGAGAGAUUCGCGUAUGAGUGAGAGGCCAAAGGCCAAGACGGCGGCGCGAAGGGUCCAGGCACCAAUAGAGCGGGACGGCGACAGUGGGCAAUACAGAGAGCUUCGGGGCUUUAAUGUAUAUAAAAUAUAAAAUAAACACACAAGGAAUAUCAUUUUUCCUCUUGUAUUGCUUGUUAUAUGCGAAACUUUUGUAUUGUGUCAUAAACGAACUACUUGUCAUAACGUAAACAACUUCGGACUUCUACGAUCGAAUUUUUAUUAUUAUAAUAUUAAUAACAGUAAAAAUAAAAAACAACCAAGAGAGGAAAACUCAAAAUAAUAUCUAUAAAAAUAAAGCAGUAAUAAAAAUCAACAUUAGUUCAAAGAUAAAAGAUGAAUAAAACAAUUUGAUAGAGAAUCAAAGGAGGCUUUGCAAAAACACAACAAAUAAUAAAGAAGCCACGAUUGCUUUGUUUUCAUUUUUUUUUCGUGCGGCGGUGAAACUUUGUACUUCGUGUAGUGCCACGAGACGAAAUGCUGCAGGAAGAAAGAAAAUCGCCGACAGUUUGAACUUCUUUGAAUCCUCGACGUACGUGACGAGUGCUGCUCCCGACGACGAUAGGUGAUCGUCAAUCUGAUGACCUGUUAUGCCGCGUGCAACUGAGCUAAGGACGUCGCUGUUUUAAGAGCUACUGGGCAAUUAAAGUCCGACUAAAGUGGCGAGAGUGAAUCAACAACUGUGGCUAACGGUGGUUAAACUGAGUACACAGGUCAACUUGUUUGUGAUUUGAAAUUGUGAUAAGAAAUUCAAGUGAUAAGGCAACGGAAUCGUUGAAAAAGCAUUUGCCAGUGAUGAUAAUUAGAUGAAAUGAUCAGAAUGGGUCUAUUAAGGUGGUAAAGUAGCAAUCAUUUUGAGCAGAUUGAUUGCUCAAAGUUUUGAACAAAGUGAACUAAUCUACACAGUGGCAUUGAGCGUUGAAUGUCACAGACCCCAAACUCUGAAGGUAGUCCAUUAACCACAGGUAGUGAAGGUAGUCCGAAUUCUCCACCGACCAGCAAAAUGUAUCCGUUCGUUUCCAAUCACCCGUCGUCGCACACCAGCUACUCAACGAUGCCAGGCUUCUCCGGCCUAGACGACAAAUCGUGCAGUAGAUACACCGAUAGCGUUAUGAAUAGUUACCCACCGAUGGGAGUUCCCGGCAGCGCCAGUAUUGCACAGUUCUACCAGCAAGCUGCCGCCGUAUCGGCGGCGUCCGCCGGCGUCGGUGUAGAUUCCCUCGGAUCCGCAUGUUCACAGCUAUCGUCGUCCGUCGGCGGUGGCCAGUCAGGCCUCCCAGACAUUACCCGCCAUCCCUGGCUAGUGACCGAUUGGAUGAGUAAUCCCUUCGAUCGAGUAGUGUGCGGAGAUUUUGCAGGCCCGAACGGAUGCCCCCGCCGACGAGGCCGGCAGACGUACACCCGCUUCCAGACGCUCGAGCUGGAGAAGGAGUUCCACUUCAACCACUACCUGACCCGCCGGCGGAGGAUCGAAAUCGCCCACGCGCUGUGCUUGACCGAGCGGCAGAUCAAAAUUUGGUUCCAGAAUCGCCGGAUGAAGUUGAAGAAGGAGCUGCGGGCGGUGAAGGAAAUCAACGAACAGGCGCGGCGCGAGCGUGAAGAGCAGGACAAAAUGAAGAACGACUCGCUCAAAUCCGCCCAGCAACACCACAGUCAGAAGCAGCAGGAGCAAACGAUUGUCGGCUCGCAGCAGUCCAGCGGUGGUGGCGCUGGCGGUGGCGGCGGCGGUGGCAGCGGUGGAAGCUCCAGCCUUGGCAGCCACCUGCACCAUCCGUCGAUAGUGGCCCAGAACGACUUGAAGCUCGGCCUCGGCAGCAUGGGCGUCGGAGUCGGCGUUGGCGUCGGAGGGAAUCUCAGCAUGAUGGGAGGUCUGGAUAAUAAAACCAAUCAGGAUAUACUGAAAGCCGUUAGUAGAGUUCAUUCUUAAAGCAUAGUUUUCGGAUUUUUCGGAUUCCCUCACUCUCGCGUCGUUCUCUUGUCCUCGAGUUUCUUUUUAUGUUCACGAAACUUGACUGAGUUGUGCGCUCCGAUGGAUGACAAGAGAAUGCGUUAUCGUUGCUUUGUACUUUUCUAUCGCCACAAGUCAUGCUUUCAAGUUUCGCGAUUGAUAAACUUUCUUCUUUGCAUGGAAUACAGUUUCGUUAUUUUCAGUAUAAUUUAGAAUGUAAUGACAACAGUCUUUCAAGUUUUUGCCGUUUACUCUUAAUAAUAGUUUCAUUCAUUUUGAAAGUAGUUUUUUCCAGUUCCCACUUAUCGCUUCAGAGUGUAACAUUUUGUUCGAUUGAAAGUUUCAUUCAAAAUUCUAAACACAACCAAUGUCUCUUUUUAUCUUCCUUCCGCUGAAUCGAAUUUCUAGGUGAUGCAACAUAACAAAAGCGCAAACCUGAGUACUAGAGACGUCGUUGGUUCAAUUUAACCAAGUACGUAAAUAAGCCACAGCAAACCCACUCAACACAAACAGUACACAAAAAAACACCGACAUACGUAAUUUUCACACAAGCUAAAAAUGAAAGGAAUUAACAGUCGACGAGAAGCAGAUGAUCGCACUACCGCAUUCAGUUCAUCUCUGCCGGAAGGAUCAACUAAACAAAAUCUAAAGGACUUCGUCGAACGGAACGAGAGGAAUCAGCUGAGUCAAAAGAAGCAGCGAUGAACCCGAUGGUGAUCGAUUGCCGGGAUAGAUCUAUUUUACCCAGAACUUCAUAGCAGAGUGUGAUUUAGUUUACAAAUAAUCAUUAUAUUUGAUAACUUAAAAAAAACUUCGAAUGAGAACGAUUUAUAAAACUAAGUCACACUCUUGUGAUCAAGACCUUGUUGUAAACUACAGAAUGUGAAAUUUCUACAAAACAAGUAAAAGUAAUAACAAAUAUACGUACUAGUGCUAAGAAACUAUUUUUCUAUAGAACUUAAACAUGAUUUGCAAUCAUCUAUUUGGCGAUUUUACGUUGCGCGGAAGAGGCGAAUAAAAAUCUGUUGUGAAAUUUUCGAAUAUCACAAACUCAAACUCCUCGGUUUGAAUCGAGCGGGCCCGGUCUUGCACGAUCGGGUCCAGCGCGACAGAGCAAAUCAUGAAACAAAAACUGUGUUAGGUAAAGAUUAGUUAUAUUUAAAAUGUGGUCGUACUCAUUAACUAUAGCGUUUCGUUUUUGGUAAGGUUUUAAAAUCUCUACGGUCCAGAACCGUGUCGAAAUACGUAAUUACAAUUAUUGAAUACAACCAGAGUUAAACUGAAACUAAACAAAACAAGCAGAAAUAAUCGCAAAUCUGUCCAGUGGUUAGAGAUAGUUAUUUUAGAAAUAGUGAAACAUUUAUAAAUUCAGAACGCUGAAUUGCAGAACUGUGUCCCAUCGGCAAACCUAAGCUCGAUGACAACCCCGAUCCCGUAAAAGAGUUUUAGUUUCUUUUGUUGAUUUUCACUCGUGUAAAUUUGUUACUAUUUUGUAUUAACAAGACUUAGACCGUAGUUUUAGUUAGAGAGAUGAUACAUAUUAAAUAAAUUUCUAAUUUGUAACACAAAUCUUUUGUUUUUCAUUGAUUGAUUGUUUGCUAAUAGUAGCGAUCUGAGGAGCUGACCUGAAAUUUGAACUUUUGUCUUCCAGUCGACGGCACAUUUCGAUUCGAUUUAUCUUCAUUUAGUGAAGUCAACAACCGAGCCUCUGUCGGCAACCUUCGUACUUUACGUACCACUUUAUUUCACAUAUCAAAUGACCUAUUUUACGUUCGCCCUUGUUGUGUUGUUUCGCACUUCAGUUCCUCAGAUCAAAUUUGUUUAUAUUUAUGCUCUUUUUACUUAUCUGUUAGUACACUUCCCACUGUUUCAACGAGAAACACUGAGUUUGAAGAACCACAUGCUAUACCAUUACCUCCAAGCAGCAGCGAAGCACAAGCGAAACGGUUUUCUGUACAACUGAAAGCAAAAACUCAGUUUCACCAAAACACUUUUCCCAAGGAGCCCAUGUAAAUAUCGCUUUAGAUCCCACAUUGUCACUAAACAAAAAGGAAGAAAAUGAAAUACGUAAUCAUAGUCAGGGUAGAUUAGAACACAAGCAAAACAAGCUAUUUAUAUGAAACAAAAAGAGUUCAUUCCAUCGUCUAAUCAGUGUUUGUUUGACGCUACUCACAAAUACGGAGUAAAGAGUCUUGCCAUAGAAAUCAAACAAAUUCAGUGUUUUGAUCUCAACUCGACGGAAGCAAAAUAGAAGAAACAAUUUUCUUGAUAACUUAGUCAAAAAAUCUCGAGAACGUAAAACUCAACAAUUAAAUACGUAAUCAUUGGUGAAUAUAAAAAUGCAUUUUAAAUACAGCUAGUAAUUCAUACAGAAAUUGUAAAUUAUAACAUUUAAUACUGAUAUUAAUAUAACGCUAACUGCAGCAACUAGUGGUUAUGCCCGUACAUGUUUAUGUGAAUAAUAAAGAAAAUAAAAAAAGCAGUAAGCUACUUCCGCCAAUGGUAAGCUUUGGAGGACGAGCCAUAGUGAAAAACGAAUUGAGUGAUUAACCUCUCUGACUUGCUACUUGCACUACCGGAGGGCAAUUUGUGUAAGGCAUAUGCAAACAAUCGGGUCAAGUUUUAUUUUUUCAAAUUCAAUCCAGUCGAAAAUAAACAAACACACAAAUACUCAUUAUCGAAGUCGUUGUGUAAGCAAAUUGAGACAAAUUUAAAGAAAAAAAUGUCAUAAGGCAAUACAUUUAAAUAUGCAAAAUAGGUGUUUCGGCAACUUUGAGCCAAUGCAAACGACUUAACUAAAGAACUAAAGCAAAAGAAGAAGAUAGAGAGGUCGACAAGAAUAAGAAUGCUCGAUAUUUAUUUAUUACAAAUACCAACAACUAAGAAAUAGACGAUCGCUAAGCGCUGUAGCGCUGUUCGUGUACCGUGGCAACCGAUUGUCCGUAGCAAUAGAACAGAGAGCAGAAUGACAUAUUAAUAUGAAUUAUGGAAAUAAAAACAAGUGAAUAAAAUAAA